GCCUGGUUGGCUCAGUGGUUGAGCGUCUGCCUUUGGCUCAGGGCAUGAUCCCUGGCUCCUGGGAUGGAGUCCCACAUCGGGCU
rnacentral:tRNA from 1 species